rnacentral:rRNA from 1 species
CCCAGACUCCUACGGGAGGCAGCAGUGAGGAAUAUUGGUCAAUGGCCGAGAGGCUGGACCAGCCAAGUCGCGUGAGGGAAGACGGCCCUACGGGUUGUAAACCUCUUUUGUCGGGGAGCAAAGCGAACCACGUGUGGUUCAUUGAGAGUACCCGAAGAAAAAGCAUCGGCUAACUCCGUGCCAGCAGCCGCGGUAAUACGGAGGAUGCGAGCGUUAUCCGGAUUUAUUGGGUUUAAAGGGUGCGCAGGCGGAAUGUCAAGUCAGCGGUAAAAUUUCGGGGCUCAACCCCGUCGUGCCGUUGAAACUGGCGUUCUUGAGUGAGCGAGAAGUAUGCGGAAUGCGUGGUGUAGCGGUGAAAUGCAUAGAUAUCACGCAGAACUCCGAUUGCGAAGGCAGCAUACCGGCGCUCAACUGACGCUCAUGCACGAAAGCGUGGGUAUCGAACAGGAUUAGAUACCCCGGUA